rnacentral:lncRNA from 1 species
UUUUUUUUUUUAAGAUUUUAUUUUUAUUUAUUUAUUUAUUUAUUUAUUUAUUUAUUUAUUUAUUCAUUCAUUCACGAGAGACACACACACAGAGAGAGGCAGAGACACAGGCAGAGGGAGAAGUAGGCUCCAUGGAUUUCUUUAAAAGUCGAAAUUGUAAGACUCUACCCUGGGAGGGUCUUAUUUAAUAGAUGGCAUUCGGGAAUUUAUCUUUUUCAAGACUCUCCAGUGGAUUCCAGGAGAUGCCAGGUUGGAACUGCUGAAACUCUGGUCCUGGAACUGGGCACUGCAUUUGCCUAGAGGAGGUAAGAAGGCUUCUCCAGUGUCAAUGGCGUGAUGCUCCAUGACUUAGAGAAGGAACUCAAACAUCAGAGGUUUAUCUGUCAGGGCCUAGGCAGGAAAGAAUUCAUUUCAGAUUAUUUGAAUGAAGAGUCUGUAAUGGUAGGACAGAGGUGAGAGUAGGGAUAAGAAAAAACGAAGGGGGUUAAGGUGCUCAGAGACCAACAAUGAGAGAAGGCCAUCAUCUGUCCUAGGGGAUAGGGCCCAGAGGAGGAUACAGAAGUCCUAGAGUCUAGUGAGAGCUGGAAUCCUCCUAAAUUAGGGGCUGCUUAGCAGGCGCUUUAAUUUGGAGAAAUUAGGCACAGUUACUUCUUUUUUAAUUUUUUUUAAGAUUUUAUUUAUUUAUGAGAGAGGCAGAGAUAUAGGCAGAGGGAGAAGCAGGAUUCCUGCAGGAAGGCCAAUGAGGGACUCGAUCCCAGGACCCUGGAAUCAUGACCUGAACCAAAGGCAGAUGUUCAACCCCUGAGCCACCCAGGUGUCCCAAGGCACAGCUACUUCUAAAGACACACUACAGAAGCGCAGGGUUUGAAAGAUCUACACUGAUCUCACUCUCUUCCCACCCUCUUACCUAGGCCUCCCACUGGUCAAAGUGGACAGCAAGUGAGGCAAGGCAGGAGAUGCCACAGCAAGGGCCAGCCUCUGGGGGCCAAGAGUAGGGCUAAGGAAGGCAAAGAACACAUCCAGGGAGCAGAGCAAGGUGGGAAAUGGGAGCAGAGAAUAAUCAGUCAGGAGAACAAUCAUUCCUUCAGAGUCCUGAAAUAAGAGAAAAUAGUCACCUCUUCCGGGAGUUUGAUGUUUUUCAACCCUGGAAGAAGCCAAGUCUAAGAGUAAAGGGACUGUCUGAUUGUUGGUUAUAUCAACCACAAACCUUUGUCAUGGGUGGCUUGGAGUAUGCUUUAGUGUAACAGCCAGCCUGAGCUCCUCCUCCCCCCCCCAACAAAGUCAAGCUGGAAGGUGGGGGAGGGGCGUAAAAAUCCAAGGACUGUAAUCAUUACCGAUUUAAGUUGUCGCAGUGGAGAAACCUUGCUCACUUUUCUGUAAGUUAACAUUAUUGACUGGCCAGAGGGACAUUAGUUCUCAGCAAAAUGUAUUAGAGGCGAUUAUUCUCUGUUUACCACUUAUUCUCAAUUUACCAACUAAAAGGACAAUGUAGGGGUUCCUAUCACAGAACUUUUAUGGAGCCCAUUUUCCCCUUGAAAUCUUGAAGUCUAUUAUUUGCAAGUUGUUUAAAAGCUAGCAUUUCAGUUUUCAAAGCUACAAUCGCAUUUAUUUUUUUGGUUAAGAAGCAGAAGAAAAACAACUCCCUAGGUCGAAGUUAAUCUUUUCAACUCCUUCUCCCCAAGGGAUAUAUACAUAUGCAUGUUUGCACCUCUAGACUCAGGAAACGGGUCAAGCAAUGUAACUCCACAGGUUUAGGUGACUGUAUUAAGACCUGAGUACCCUAACAGAGGCAGAAGUGCCCAGGAAGUAGAAAUUCUGAGCAGCCGUCUUUGAAAGGGUCAUUGAUCAAGUGGAGUGUGUCCAAAGGAAGGGGUGACCAGGAUGACAACAGACUUCGAGGGGGUCUGAUUGCCAUCUUCAAGCUUCUGGAGAAAUGGAAUGGCCAAUUAAAUUGUUUCAAUAGGCAGGACUAGAGCCAGUCAUUAUAGAAAAACCACUUUUACCCCACAAGGAAGAUUUUAAUUGCCUGAUUGAUUCACUGCUCCAGUGCCUGGCUCAGAGCUUGACAUAUAAAGGGUGCCCAAUAAUAUCUGUUAGACAGAUGGUAAUCUCUGAUACUGGUCGGUGGUGAAACUUGCCACUGUCAAACUAGAGAGCUAUCUGUCACUGGUUAAAGUCCAGAUGAGCAUUUGUAAGGAACACUAUAGAGGGUAUCCCUAUAACAAAAAAUUAUAUUUAUUUCAUUUCUGGAAUUGAUUGAUUCUAAAGCUAAUGCUACUAAGUUUGACUAGGACUUGGUUGGAGGUGAAAGUUAAGAAAGUCAGAGCAAGUCUAUCCUCAUUCUUGGGACCAAUUAGGAGUAGAAGAUAAAUCCCACAAAUCCUUUCAAAGUGGGGGAUAAAUGUGGCAGAGAAAUAAAAUCUGAUCUGAUUCAACAAUAAUAAAACAAAUAAUCCAAUUAAAAAUAUUACUACAGAUGCUGGAUUAUAAUGUACAUCUGAAAUGUAUAUAAUGUUAUAUACCAAUUUUACCUCAAAAUUUUUGCCAUUUAAAAAAAAAAAUGGGCCAAAAACCUUAAUAGACACCUCACCAAAAAAGAUAUACAAAUGGCAAACAAGCAUAUGAAAAGAUGAUCCACAUCAUAUGUCAUCAGGGAAAUGCAAAUUAAAAUAACAAUGGCAUACCAAUAGAAUGGCCAAAAUCCAGAACACUGACAACACCAAAUGCUCACAGGGAUGCAGAGCAACAGGAUCUCUCAUUCACUGCUGGUGACAAUGCAGAAAAAAAUAUUUUGGAAGCCGGUUUGGCAGUUUCCUAUAAAAUUAAACAUACUCUUACCAUACAAUCCAGCAGAACUGGCAAUUGCACAUCUUGGCCUUUAUCCAAAGAAGAUGAAAAUUUAUGUCCCCAUAAAAACCUCCUCACAGAUGUUUAGAGCAGGAGUUAGGGUUCAUAGUUGCCAAAACUCGGAAGCAACCAAGACGUCCUUCAACAGAUGAACGGGUAAAUAAACUGGUACAUCCAGACAAUGGACUAUUUGUUAUUCAGCACUAAAAUGAAAUGAUCUAUCAAGCCAUGAAAAGAAAUAGAAGACACUUAAAUGCAAAGUGAUAGAAGCCAAUCUGAGAAGGCUGUAUACUUUAUAGUUCCAACUAUAUGAUAUUCUGGAAAAGGCAAAACUACAGAGACAAUAAAAAAAUCAGUGGUUGCCAGGGUUGGGUGGUUGGGGAAGGAAUGACUAGAUGGAGCAUAGAGGAUUUUUAGGGCAGUGAAAAUACUUGGUACAAUACCGUAAUGAUGUAAAUAUGUCAUUAUACAAUUGUCCAAACCCACAGAAUGUAC